ACCAUCCUGCUGGACCCAACAGUGCGAAACAGUGGGUGAGGGGACAGCCAGGCCGCCUGAAGAAUGUCCUGAAUGAUGGGAUCCUUGGUGAUGGGACGGACCAACAAGUUCCAGAAUAACAACAGGGGAUCCUUCUUGAUGUGGGAAAGGCUGUGUAUAUCAAACACACUGCUGUCAGAAGAUGUCUGGGUGCUCUGAUGAAAAGAGGCAGGAGAUCAAACUAAAGAGAAGAGGGUCCUACAGCAAGUUGCUGACCCAGGUUCUAUCACAGCUGCCCUCUUCCAUCGAAUGGGCAGAAGUAACUUUUU